rnacentral:rRNA from 1 species
UUAGGGAGGAUCCGAUUAUCUCGGUGCGUUGCGGCGAGUUCAAGUCCAUCUUGAAUGGGGCCAUUUACCAUAGAGGGUGCCAGGCCCGUAGCGACCGUUGCGCGUAUCGAGAGGAUCUCUCCUCAGAGUCGAGUUGCUUGAGAGUGCAGCUCUAAGUGGGUGGUAAACUCCAUCUAAGGCUAAAAUAGGACCAAACCGAGACCCGAUAGCGAACUUAUGUGUCAGGCGGCGUUGGCAUGCACUUCUCUCUCUCAGUAGGACGUCGCGACCCGUUUGGUGUCGAUCUACGACCGCGGCGGUAGCCUGUCACGAAUUUAUUCGCGCCAGACCCCGCGUGCUCCGGCCGACUGCCAGACGGUAUAAAUGAUAUGGUAUAGGGUCGCUUUUAAGCGUUCGGCCGGUUGCAAGCACGGACGGUUAUUGGCCGUCGGACCUAGUCCGGCAUCGAUGCCGCCUCGAGCUGUUAGCUACCGUGUUCUCGAACGGACUCUAUUACCGGUCAGCGAUGCUAUUGCUUUGGUACUUUCAGGACCCGUCUUGAAACACGGACCAAGGAGUCUAGCAUGUGCGCGAGUCAUUGGGAAAUACAAAACCUAAAGGCGCAAUAAACGUAAAGGUUUGCUUAGUAAACCGAGGAUGACGGACCGCAUCUACGGAUGCGUGCUUGCAAUCCCAAGGCGUCUCACUCACAUUGCGAGAAGAGACGCACUCCAGCGUACACGCUAGGUCCCGAAAGAUGUGAACUAUGCCCGGCGGUCAGGUCAAAGUCAGGGAAAACCGUGAUGGAGGACCGUAGCGAUUCUGACGUGCAAAUCGAUCGUCGGAACUGGGUAUAGGGGCGAAAGACUAAUCGAACCAUCUAGUAGCUGGUUUCCCUCCGAAGUUUCCCUCAGGAUAGCUGGCAUUCGAUGAGCGAGUCUCAUCCGGUAAAGCGAAUGAUUAGAGGCCUUGGGCCGAAACGACCUCAACCUAUUCUCAAACUUUAAAUGGGUGAGAUCUCUGGCUUGCUUGAAUAGUGAAGCAGAGAUUUGGAUCAGAGUGCCUAGUGGGCCAUUUUUGGUAAGUAGAACUGGCGCUGUGGGAUGAACCAAACGCCGAGUUAAGGCGCCUAAACGACGCUAAUGGGAUACCAUGAAAGGCGUUGGUUGCUUAAGACAGCAGGACGGUGGCCAUGGAAGUUGGAAUCCGUAAGGAGUGUGUAACAACUCACCUGCCGAAGCAACUAGCCCUGAAAAUGGAUGGCGCUGAAGCGUCGUGCCUAUACUCGGCCGCCAAGGCAUGAGAAACGUUCAUAAUAGUUCGUUUUGACGCCCUGGUGAGUAGGAGGGUCGCGGUGGUGUGCGCAGAAGGGUUUGGGCGUAAGCCUGCCUGGAGCCGCCAUCGGUGCAGAUCUUGGUGGUAGUAGCAAAUACUCCAGCGAGGCCCUGGAGGACUGACGUGGAGAAGGGUUUCGUGUGAACAGCCGUUGCACACGAGUCAGUCGAUCCUAAGCCCCAGGAGAAAUCCUAUGUUGAUGUUGGUGUAUUUUAUUUGAAUAAAAUUUCACACCCAUCGGGCGAAAGGGAAUCCGGUUCCUAUUCCGGAACCCGGCAGCGGAACCGUUUACAAGUCGGGCCCUCGCAAGAGAGUUCGUCGGGGUAACCCCUGGAGACGCCGUCGGGAAAUACGGGAAGAGUUUUCUUUUCUGUAUGAGCGUUGAGUUCCCUGGAAUCCUCUAGAAGGGAGAUAGGGUUUGGAACGCGAAGAGCACCGCUGUUGCGGCGGUGUCCGUAUCUUCCCCUCGGACCUUGAAAAUCCAGGAGAGGGCCACGGUAGGUGUCGCGCCGGUUCGUACCCAUAUCCGCAGCAGGUCUCCAAGGUGAAGAGCCUCUAGUCGAUAGAUAAAUGUAGGUAAGGGAAGUCGGCAAAUUGGAUCCGUAACUUCGGGAUAAGGAUUGGCUCUGAGGAUCGGGGCGUGCCGGGCUUGGUUGGAAAGCGGGCGUAGGCCGAUGUGCCGGGCCUGGGCAAGGUGAAAUUAUCCUUGUGACUUAGAUCCGAGCUCGGUCCCGUGUCGAGGCCCCCCGCGGAUCUUUCUUGCUGCGAGGUUUCUGUGCCGGCUUCGGUCGGUCAGUCGUACUCUUCGGCCGCCAUUCAACGGUCAGCUCAGAACUGGCACGGACUAGGGGAAUCCGACUGUCUAAUUAAAACAAAGCAUUGCGAUGGCCCUAGCGGGUGUUGACGCAAUGUGAUUUCUGCCCAGUGCUCUGAAUGUGAACGUAAAGAAAUUCAAGCAAGCGCGGGUAAACGGCGAAAGUAACUAUGACUCUCUUAAGACUCUUGGUUGGAGACGCUUGCCCACCUCCUCGUGGUUCCAGCCGGGCGUCGAUGGAGCGACGCUAAUGAGUGUCUCGCCACCGACGGCUAAGAGGCAAAGCGAAGGUUGAGAGAAGGGUAGGCCCGCUCUCUCUCAUCCGAGUCGUAACAUAAUCGACCAGUCUAGCUGGCACGAAUCUAUUGCCCCACUAAGCCAUCUAGCAGGGCUUCACAGGGGCUCUGUCUUCACUAUACGGAUCCGGCGGUGCCGGUAUCCUCUAUUUCUUAUAUUCAACACCUCGGUGGCGGGAGUAGUGCCCCGCCACUAUGAGGUGGCUCUUAUAGAUAUAGACAGUGGCAACUUUGCCACAAUACCUUGAAUCUCAUAUUAUUACUAUGGCUAAUAACAACAAUGAUAUGAUCGGCGCAGGAUUCGGUACCUGCGAGAAUGCUUCUCGGAGUGAGCCAGGAGAGCAUUCU